UUGAGGCGUGUCAUCAGUUCCUUUUGCCUUUGCCACAAGAUCCAAAGCAUGCCAUCCAAGAUACCUUUUUCUUUUUCUUCUCUCGCAUGCUGACCAACUUUUUGUUUUUGGUCUGGAUAUGCUAACUUUUUUGCAAUGUACUUAAGUCCCGCCAAAACUCGCAACUAGUGCAACCUUAAACGCUUCAUUUUGUGAUGAUUGAUGUGAGACAAUUGGAUUGAAGGUUCAUCAGUGGAGAGGAGAUUGGCUCUUGAUUUAGUUUAUACAUUAAAGUAGAGUUGCUUUAAACUGCUGCAGUUGGAAGACGAACACAUGGUAUGGUUGGCUCCUCAUACCGGAUAUUUUGUGCCCUUUAUUGAUAUUUUACAUGUAUGCCGUGCUAUCCUCCUCGAAAGCAGGUGGUCCUUCCUCCAACCUCUUCAUAGAAAACCAUCUCCCCUGGAUAUCCUGGCACAGUUUGUACCACUUUUGGAUGUUCACUAAAGUACCACCUCAACUCUGGCAGCCUCCACAAGCUCAAACACUCUUGGUUCAAAAAUUCUGUUCUCUUUUCUUUUAAAUUUUAAAGACCCAACAGAGGGUGGUAAAGCCUCUGCAAUCUAUAAUGGGAGCUACCUUUUGUUGAGAAUGUGGGUAGCACGUUCAGGAGAUGGGGAGGGACGAAAAGGUGA
rnacentral:lncRNA from 1 species